GCUGGGCAUAGUGGUACAUGCCUGUAGUCCCAGCUACUCGGGAGGCUGAGAUGGGAGGAUAGCUUGAGCCCAGGAGUUCUGGGCUGUGGCGAGCUAUGCUGAUGGAAUAUCUGCACUAUGCUCCACAUCAAUAUGGUGACCCGGGAACAGGAUGCCACCAGGUUGCCUAAGGAGGAAUGAAUCGGCGCAAGUCAGAAACGGAGCAGGUCAAAAUUCCCAUGCUGAUUAGUAGCGGGUUCAUGCCUGUGAAUCACCACUGCACUCUAGUCUGGGCAAUAUAGGGAGACCUUGUCUUUU
ensembl:misc_RNA Metazoa_SRP Metazoan signal recognition particle RNA